GACGAACGCUGGCGGCGUGCUUAACACAUGCAAGUCGAACGGAAAGGCCCUGCUUUUGUGGGGUGCUCGAGUGGCGAACGGGUGAGUAACACGUGAGUAACCUGCCCUUGACUUUGGGAUAACUUCAGGAAACUGGGGCUAAUACCGGAUAGGAGCUCCUGCUGCCUGGUGGGGGUUGGAAAGUUUCGGCGGUUGGGGAUGGACUCGCGGCUUAUCAGCUUGUUGGUGGGGUAGUGGCUUACCAAGGCUUUGACGGGUAGCCGGCCUGAGAGGGUGACCGGCCACAUUGGGACUGAGAUACGGCCCAGACUCCUACGGGAGGCAGCAGUGGGGAAUAUUGCACAAUGGGCGGAAGCCUGAUGCAGCAACGCCGCGUGCGGGAUGACGGCCUUCGGGUUGUAAACCGCUUUCGCCUGUGACGAAGCGUGAGUGACGGUAAUGGGUAAAGAAGCACCGGCUAACUACGUG
rnacentral:rRNA from 1 species